UGCUAAUAUUUUAUAUAUAUAUAUAUAUGUGUGUGUGUGUGUGUGUGUGUGUGUAUAUCUAUAUAUAUAUAUAGAUAUACCUAUCUCUAUAUAUAUA
rnacentral:miRNA from 12 species